GCCCUCUACCCCACCCAGAAAACCCCUCCCUCUCCGUCCUCCCUCGCCUCCUUCCGCGCGGAGGGACGGACGGUGGGAUGGGGAGAGAAGUUUGCCUGCGGCGCGCUUCGCUCAACAUUAAACUGUAUUUCAUUUUCGGGGGGGAAACAGCAACAAGAGGAGCCCUGCGGAGAAGCUUUCCAGGGAAUGCUGAGGGAAUAUCCGAGCGCCCAGACACACACGCCGCUCACAGCUGAACCGACUCCUUUUGAUUGAAUAAUACAAACAAGGCAAAUCAUUAAUGUCUCCGAACUAAAGGGAAGAACCAAAGGCUCGGGUCCAGUCGGAGGGUGCUUUUUAAUUUAAUUUGUGGAGGAAGGAGACGAGCAAAGCGAAACAAGAAAAAAAAAAAGAAGAAGACGAGCUUCCGAGUGAGGAAAAACAACAAAGAGUCCGACUCAGAAUGAAUAACAACAAAAUCGAGAAGGAAAACGAGCAGAGUGAAUUCACCAACCACGAAGAGGAGGUCCGAACGCUAUUCGUCAGUGGGCUACCGCUGGAUAUCAAACCACGGGAGCUCUAUCUCCUCUUCAGACCAUUUAAGGGUUACGAAGGAUCCUUGAUAAAGCUCACUUCUAAGCAGCCAGUGGGGUUUGUCAGCUUUGACAGCCGAUCAGAGGCAGAGGCUGCUAAGAAUGCCUUGAACGGUGUCCGUUUUGAUCCGGAGAUCCCCCAAACUCUGCGGCUGGAGUUCGCCAAGGCCAACACCAAGAUGGCUAAAAACAAGCUGGUCGGCACGCCCAACCCUCCUCCCUCCCAGCAGAGCCCCGGCCCUCAGUUCAUUAGCAGAGAUCCAUAUGAGCUCACAGUGCCUGCUCUAUAUCCCAGCAGCCCAGAUGUGUGGGCGUCAUACCCGCUGUACCCGGCAGAGCUGUCGCCGGCCCUUCCGCCCGCUUUCACCUAUCCCUCCUCGCUCCACGCUCAGAUUCGUUGGCUCCCACCUGCAGAUGGAACUCCUCAGGGAUGGAAGUCCAGACAGUUCUGCUGAAGUAUGUGUUCCUGAUGUGUGAUGGUGGCCGUGGCCGGCUGUGACGGGCUUUGCUGUUUGCCUCUUUUCCUUUUUAGAAAUUAGGAGGAAUGACCUGCUUCCAGAUCCUGCAGCAGCGCACCGUCGGCAGCAGCAGCCUUAUGGGCUUCAGGACAUACUAGACCCCAGCCUCCAUCGCACAUCAAGCGCCCGUCCCAACCCUCUUCCCGAAGUCUUUGCAACUCUAUUAGAUUUUUUUAUACUGUUACAUACUCGAGCUUUUAGAGGCAGCGCUUUGGCUACACCUCCUCUGACUCGGGCGAUGGAAACGGUCCGCGUUUUCCCGAUGGCGUCGCGUACGGGAAGAGAGAAAGACCGCAGGAGGAGAUCCAUGGAAGUGUGGCCAAAGUGCUAUCGAGUAAUGUUGUUAUAAUACUAGAAUUAUUACUAUUCUGUAUAUCAUUCAUAUCAAUGUUAUUAUAAUAAAUACAUGUCGAAGCAUGACUUUGCAAAAAACUAAAAAAAUAAAAA